rnacentral:tRNA from 1 species
GUUUAUAUAGUUUAAAGUAAAACACCUUAUUUUCAAUAAGACAAUAAGAAACUAUUCUUUAUAAAUAAUAUA